rnacentral:rRNA from 1 species
AACGAUGUGGGAAGGCCCAGACAGCCAGGAUGUUGGCUUAGAAGCAGCCAUCAUUUAAAGAAAGCGUAAUAGCUCACUGGUCGAGUCGGCCUGCGCGGAAGAUGUAACGGGGCUAAACCAUGCACCGAAGCUGCGGCAGCGACACUAUGUGUUGUUGGGUAGGGGAGCGUUCUGUAAGCCUGUGAAGGUGGCCUGUGAGGGUUGCUGGAGGUAUCAGAAGUGCGAAUGCUGACAUAAGUAACGAUAAAGCGGGUGAAAAGCCCGCUCGCCGGAAGACCAAGGGUUCCUGUCCAACGUUAAUCGGGGCAGGGUGAGUCGACCCCUAAGGCGAGGCCGAAAGGCGUAGUCGAUGGGAAACGGGUUAAUAUUCCCGUACUUGGUGUUACUGCGAAGGGGGGACGGAGAAGGCUAUGUUGGCCGGGCGACGGUUGUCCCGGUUUAAGCGUGUAGGUGUGUGUUCCAGGUAAAUCCGGUUCACUUUAACACUGAGGCGUGAUGACGAGGCACUACGGUGCUGAAGCAACAAAUGCCCUGCUUCCAGGAAAAGCCUCUAAGCAUCAGGUAACAUCAAAUCGUACCCCAAACCGACACAGGUGGUCAGGUAGAGAAUACCAAGGCGCUUGAGAGAACUCGGGUGAAGGAACUAGGCAAAAUGGUGCCGUAACUUCGGGAGAAGGCACGCUGACAUGUAGGUGAAGUGAUUUACUCAUGGAGCUGAAGUCAGUCGAAGAUACCAGCUGGCUGCAACUGUUUAUUAAAAACACAGCACUGUGCAAACACGAAAGUGGACGUAUACGGUGUGACGCCUGCCCGGUGCCGGAAGGUUAAUUGAUGGGGUCAGCGCAAGCGAAGCUCCUGAUCGAAGCCCCGGUAAACGGCGGCCGUAACUAUAACGGUCCUAAGGUAGCGAAAUUCCUUGUCGGGUAAGUUCCGACCUGCACGAAUGGCGUAAUGAUGGCCAGGCUGUCUCCACCCGAGACUCAGUGAAAUUGAACUCGCUGUGAAGAUGCAGUGUACCCGCGGCAAGACGGAAAGACCCCGUGAACCUUUACUAUAGCUUGACACUGAACAUUGAGCCUUGAUGUGUAGGAUAGGUGGGAGGCUUUGAAGUGUGGACGCCAGUCUGCAUGGAGCCGACCUUGAAAUACCACCCUUUAAUGUUUGAUGUUCUAACGUGGACCCGUAAUCCGGGUUGCGGACAGUGUCUGGUGGGUAGUUUGACUGGGGCGGUCUCCUCCUAAAGAGUAACGGAGGAGCACGAAGGUUGGCUAAUCCUGGUCGGACAUCAGGAGGUUAGUGCAAUGGCAUAAGCCAGCUUGACUGCGAGCGUGACGGCGCGAGCAGGUGCGAAAGCAGGUCAUAGUGAUCCGGUGGUUCUGAAUGGAAGGGCCAUCGCUCAACGGAUAAAAGGUACUCCGGGGAUAACAGGCUGAUACCGCCCAAGAGUUCAUAUCGACGGCGGUGUUUGGCACCUCGAUGUCGGCUCAUCACAUCCUGGGGCUGAAGUAGGUCCCAAGGGUAUGGCUGUUCGCCAUUUAAAGUGGUACGCGAGCUGGGUUUAGAACGUCGUGAGACAGUUCGGUCCCUAUCUGCCGUGGGCGCUGGAGAACUGAGGGGGGCUGCUCCUAGUACGAGAGGACCGGAGUGGACGCAUCACUGGUGUUCGGGUUGUCAUGCCAAUGGCACUGCCCGGUAGCUAAAUGCGGAAGAGAUAAGUGCUGAAAGCAUCUAAGCACGAAACUUGCCCCGAGAUGAGUUCUCCCUGAGACUUUAGGUCUCCUGAAGGAACGUUGAAGACGACGACGUUGAUAGGCCGGGUGUGUAAGCGCAGCGAUGCGUUGAGCUAACCGGUACUAAUGAACCGUGAGGCUUAACCUUACAACGCCGAAG